rfam:Streptomyces autolyticus strain CGMCC0516, complete genome.
CUUGAUCGACCCCAGCCACAGCGGCUGAUCCUCGGACUUCUCCCUGCCAUACGUGGCCAGCAGCGCCUGCGCCUC